AAGAGGCAGGGAAACCUAUAGAUUACAAGAGACUUAAGGGACAUAUCAAUUGAUUACCAUGUAUGAACCUUAUUUGGUUC